rnacentral:rRNA from 1 species
UCCUACGGGGGGCAGCAGUGAGGAAUAUUGGUCAAUGGGCGCAAGCCUGAACCAGCCAAGUCGCGUGAGGGAUGACGGUCCUAUGGAUUGUAAACCUCUUUUGUCGGGGAGCAAGGCCCGCCACGUGUGGCGGGAAGGAGAGUACCCGAAGAAAAAGCAUCGGCUAACUCCGUGCCAGCAGCCGCGGUAAUACGGAGGAUGCGAGCGUUAUCCGGAUUUAUUGGGUUUAAAGGGUGCGUAGGCGGAAGGUUAAGGCAGCGGUCAAAUUGCGGUGCUCAAACCCGGCCUGCCGUUGAAACUGGUCU